GUGGGGAAUCUUAGACAAUGGGGGCAACCCUGAUCAGCCCAUGCCGCGUGAGUGAUGAAGGCCUUAGGGUCGUAAAGCUCUUUCGCCUGUGAUGAUAAUGACAGNAGCANGNAAAGAAACCCCGGCUAACUCCGUGCCAGCAGCCGCGGUAAUACGGAGGGGGUUAGCGUUGUUCGGAAUUACUGCGCGUAAAGCGCGCGUANGCGGAUUAGAAAGUUGGGGGCGAAAUCCCGGGGC
rnacentral:rRNA from 1 species